GAAAUAAUGCUGCUGUGAAGGUCUUCCAUCCAAGUACUAACCAGCACCAACCCUGCUUAGCUUCUGAGAUCAGACGAGAUCAGGUGCAUUCAGGCUGGUAUGGCAGUAAACUAUAUUUGGUUUAAGGCGUCCCUUCAAGUGAUCCUAGAAGCCCUGUUCUUCCCUUUCAUAGCAUGUGAUCUCACGAUUACCUGUUCCACAUUUACUUUCUCACUCAGUCAUGGGGCCCUGUGGGCAGGCCCUGCUGCUCUUGAGCAUGGUAAGUGGCAUUCCUUCCUGGCAAAGACUCUGGGCCUUUCUCUAGUCAAGCCCCAGACUAUAUGACUUCAGUACUUACUUUUCUUCAUCCAUUCAUUCAUUCACUCAUCCAGCCACCCCUCGUGUUGAGACACGAGUUAGCAGGCCGCGCAUGUCGGGCAGAGUUGAGACACUGCAGGUGCAGGGAGGCUAGUGCAGCCUGGUCAGUGGCCCAGGGUGGCUGUGGAACGCUGUGCCACCACUCCCAUUGCUCCCUUUCCCCAGGAGGACUGUGCAGCUCCACUCUGCUAAACUCAAGCACAGCCAUGUGACUUGCUUUGGCCACUGAAAUGUGAGCAGCAGUGCAUCGUGUCACUUCUUGAAGGGCUGCAUGAACACUGCUCACGCUCUUCCUUCUGCACGUGACUGUGUACACAAAGUCCCAGAUAGAGGCUGCUUUGUGUGCCGAGUCGCUAAGAAUUCAUAGUAGGGAACAAAGCCCCAUCUGACCGGGGACAAAUGUGUGAGAGACAGUGAGUGAGCCAUGGUGAUACUGGGGUCUUACCCUGACAAUACCAAGCCAAUCACGCGAACCUAUAUGUUCUAUGCUCCUGUCACCUGACACAGCCAUUAUAGGUAGUCUGAA